GAGGGUACAGCUUGUUGGUAGAGUAUGUGCUUAGCAUGCACUAGGUCCUGGGUUCAAUCCCCACUACCUCCA
rnacentral:tRNA from 1 species